rnacentral:rRNA from 1 species
CCCUUAGAUGUUCUGGGCCGCACGCGCGCUACACUGAUGAAUUCAACGAGCACUAACCUGUGCCGAAAGGUUCGGGUAAUCUUGUGAAAUUUCAUCGUGAUGGGGAUUGAUUAUUGCAAUUUUUAAUCAUAAACGAGGAAUGCCUAGUAAGCGUGAGUCAUCAGCUCACGUUGAUUACGUCCCUGCCCUUUGUACACACCGCCCGUCGCUCCUACCGAUUGAAUGCGCCAGUGAAAAGUUCGGAUUGGAGAUAGGAGACGGCAACGUAUCCUAUUUCCGAGAAAAUCUUUAAACUUUCCCAUUUAGAGGAAGGAGAAGUCGUAACA